CUAGAGCCGCCACGAUUUUUGAUCCGUCAAUAACACACGUUACUCAUAUUGGAAAAUUAAAGAAUACCAUCAAGGAAUAAUACAAGACACAUAGUCACUUCAUGAUCUACUAACAAUUACAAGACCAAACAAAUUGCAGCUAACCAUAAGAGCAAUACGACUACAAACAAUAGCUCAAAUCAUAUCCAGACCCAAGACGAAAUAAAAGAUAUUAGAAGUAACCUAAAAUUAGCUUUCCAAUUAAUAGCAUUUUGGCAAUUACAACAAAUGAAUCAAGCCACAUUGAAUGAAUCGGCAGCAAGUGUUUCAAAUAGAAUCACCGACGAGACACCGACAACAAACAUAACUGAUGGUCUCAAAUCUCAUAAACAAAGUCAUUAUUUCGACUUCCAACAAAAAUAUCGAGGCAGAAGUGGAACACUACAUGCGAUCUCGACAUAGCAGCCAUUUAGAUCUUUUAAUGUGAUAUAACACUCUCAAUCGGUGACAAAGGUUUACGACAGUCCAUACGACAAUUAAAGCAAACAAACUCUAACAGAAAACACAUUAGUCACAAUUGUAUCAACUUGAGCAGUGGCAACCACAAUCUAUGUAUCAAUUUCUUUACUUUGAAGAGCACAAAACAAUAAGAACCAAGCACAAAUAUUCCCGUCAAAUGCAGAACUAACUCAAAAAUGGAUAUUCAAACCCAAUGCACUGGCUCUUAUCACGUUUUCAAUUGAACAAAAUUAGCACAAAAGAACCAGAAACAAACCUGAAUCUGCGCUAAUUUCGAUUAUGUCUUGAAAUGAAUACCAGUAGAGGGAAAGCUUAAUAGUGAAUUCUAAAAGACAAGAAACAACUAUUGAAAUCCCUAAUUAAAUUGGAACCGCGACAGGAAUCUACGACUAACAGCAACAAUGACAAACUCAAACCAAAACCAGAACAGAAUUGCGAGCCACCUUCGAAUUGGCACCUCAGCUCAAAUCGGCGACGACCUCAAAACCAAACUUCAGUCAAAGUCCAUGAAGGAAAAUCGAAACAGAAAUUGAAUUUUUUUUUUGUAUUUUGAAUUUGAAGCCAAAUUGAAACGAUGAAGAACUAAAUUUUCAUUCGAUCUCUGUUUAUAUCUCUUGCGAAUGUUUUUUUUUUUUUUUUGGUGAAAAUCCAAGGGGAAAAAUCAAUGGAUGCUUAGGACUUGAAAUGUGAAGGAGUGGAAGAGCUAUGGGGGAGGGUCGUUUAUGGCUACUCAACGGCGCUGCUGAUGCUUAGCUCUUUAUUUUCUAUAUUUGUUUUUGCUGAAGAAGAUCAAAAAUGGUUGGGGUCUCCUCAAGUUUGUGCGGCUGAUUUGUGAUGUCUUCCUCCCUAGGUUUUCGGCUUUGAUUUGGGUAUAUAAAAAAAGGAUAAGGGUUUGGAUGUUGGGUCAGGUCAGGUCCAC
rnacentral:lncRNA from 1 species